rnacentral:rRNA from 1 species
UAACGAAUAUUGGGCAAUGGGCGCAAGCCUGACCCAGCGACGCCGCGUGGAGGAUGAAGUUCCUCGGAAUGUAAACUCCUGUCAGGGGUUAGAAAGUUCUGAUCAACCCCAGAGGAAGGCACGGCUAACUCUGUGCCAGCAGCCGCGGUAAGACAGAGGUGCCAAGCGUUAGGCGGAAUCACUGGGCUUAAAGCGUGUGUAGGCGGAGGUCUAAGUGCUUUGUGAAAUCCCAUGGCUCAACCAUGGAAUCGCUGGGCAUACUGGGCUUCUUGAGCCACUUAGGGGUUGCUGGAACAAACGGUGGAGCGGUGAAAUGCGUAGAUAUCGUUUGGAACGCCAAAGGUGAAAACAGGCAACUGGGAGUGUGCUGACGCUGAGACACGAAAGCCAGGGGAGCAAACG